rnacentral:lncRNA from 1 species
CUAGCGUGAAAGUUUGUAUUAUUAUGAUUCAUAUUCUGCAAAAUUGUACUAAUACUGUCAAUUUGUCCAUGUUAUGCUGCUAGAAAAAUCCUGUUUUGGGAGAGGGAUGGAGAGGAUGGAGGUAGCAAAGAUCCAAUUUCUUGUCUGGUUUAUAGAGAGGAUCCAAAAUCAUCACCCUUGAAGGUUUUAGAAACCAUGAGCAACCUUGUCUGAAAUCAGUUUUGACCUUCCUUUGAAUAGAAAUUGGAGUAGAG